rnacentral:rRNA from 1 species
CCAGCAUCAGUUCGCUGCGGGGGAUAAAAGUUUUAGGAAUGUGGCUCCCUCGGGAGUGUUAUAGCCUAUUGCAUAAUACCCUGCUCCGGACUGAGGUUCGCGCAUCUGCAAGGAUGCUGGCGUAAUGGUCAUCAGCGA